UACGAAGGGUGCAAGCGCUACUCGGAAUUACUGGGCGUAAAGCGUGCGUAGGUGGUUCGUUAAGUCUGAUGUGAAAGCCCUGGGCUCAACCUGGGAAUGGCAUUGGAAACUGGCGACCUAGAGUGCGGUAGAGGGCAGUGGAAUUCCCGGUGUAGCAGUGAAAUGCGUAGAGAUCGGGAGGAACAUCUGUGGCGAAGGCGACUGCCUGGACCAGCACUGACACUGAGGCACGAAAGCGUGGGGAGCAAACAGG
rnacentral:rRNA from 1 species